rnacentral:rRNA from 1 species
ACGAGAAGCUUGCUUCUCUGAUGUUAGCGGCGGACGGGUGAGUAACACGUGGAUAACCUACCUAUAAGACUGGGAUAACUUCGGGAAACCGGAGCUAAUACCGGAUAAUAUUUUGAACCGCAUGGUUCAAAAGUGAAAGACGGUCUUGCUGUCACUUAUAGAUGGAUCCGCAGCUGCAUUAGCUAGUUGGUAAGGUAACGGCUUACCAAGGCAACGAUGCAUAGCCGACCUGAGAGGGUGAUCGGCCACACUGGAACUGAGACACGGUCCAGACUCCUACGGGAGGCAGCAGUAGGGAAUCUUCCGCAAUGGGCGAAAGCCUGACGGAGCAACACCGCGUGAGUGAUGAAGGUCUUCGGAUCGUAAAACUCUGUUAUUAGGGAAGAACAUAUGUGUAAGUAACUGUGCACAUCUUGACGGUACCUAAUCAGAAGGCCACGGCUAACUACGUGCCAGCAGCCGCGGUAAUACGUAGGUGGCAAGCGUUAUCCGGAAUUAUUGGGCGUAAAGCGCGCGUAGGCGGUUUUUUAAGUCUGAUGUGAAAGCCCACGGCUCAACCGUGGAGGGUCAUUGGAAACUGGAAAACUUGAGUGCAGAAGAGGAAAGUGGAAUUCCAUGUGUAGCGGUGAAAUGCGCAGAGAUAUGGAGGAACACCAGUGGCGAAGGCGAUUUUCUGGUCUGUAACUGACGCUGAUGUGCGAAAGCGUGGGGAUCAAACAGGAUUAGAUACCCUGGUAGUCCGCGCCGUAAACGAUGAGUGCUAAGUGUUAGGGGGUUUCCGCCCCUUAGUGCUG